rnacentral:lncRNA from 1 species
GGCUGAUGACUUCACAGCCUUUUUAUAUAAAAAAAAGUUUCCCCUCUUGAAGUUCUAAAAAGAGGAGCGUUUCUGCUCAACUCGUGCGAUGCUGAUGUUGUAGAAGUCUGAGGCCUGUGUCUCGCUAGGGAGGGGUCGCAGAAUCUGCACUUCGAGCUCGGCUGCGUGUGGAGAUCUGCUGGCGCUGCAGGGCAGGUGCUCUAGGCUCUGUGCUACCAGACUCCGCUGCGCAAAGGUCACCGUGGUCAGGAGACGGCGCAGCUCUCGCGGCCUGACUCACUCUUUCCGCCUGACCCGCUCCCGCCGCCGCCGGGGACAUGGCCAACAACACGCACGGCUCCGCGGCCCCUCCCAAAGGUGGAGAUUUGACGGAGGCACAUUACAUCCUCAUCGGCAUCUCCGCCUUCACUGUGGUGGCCAUCGCCCUGCUGGUGGUGCUCUGGCUGAGGAAGUACCGUGCCUUGAUGCGCACCAUCCAGAACCUUCAGAGAACGGGCUGUUUUGUCAAUGUCCCCCCCUCAGACGCCCCCACGCCGCACAGCACCUCGCUGGACACCCUGGAAGAGGACCCUGUCCAGACGGGCCAGCAGACGCCUGCGGAGAGGCAGAAAUCCAAGUCUUUGAGCAGGUCGAUAUGGAGGCCACCACAACCAGUAAGUCUCGGAUCCCGGGACGUUUUUGUUCUCGCUCGGAACUUUGGUUUUAUUUCUGGGGCGCUGAGAAGAGAAUGAAGGGCUUCACUGCAGAGGGAGCCCCAGAGGAAACUAACGGGGGGGGGGGCACCUCUCAUCUCCAGGGACCCCGCUUCACGAAGGCGGACCUAAACCUCAUGCAGAUCAUCAAGGCUGGGAAGGAGGGCGUCUUCUACAAGGCCAGGAUGAAUCGUGGGACCUGCAAAGGCCACUCGUUCUUCACCUGCAAGAUCUCGAAAGAAGGUGUCAGCCCCAAACGAGUGGAGACGGAGGUGUCCAUCAUGAGGAAGCUGGGGCACCACAAGAACGUCCUGCAGCUCCUGGACUGGAACACGAGCCAGGGUGAGGUGGUGGGGCGGGGU